GCGACACCUGGUUGGGGCCCGGCGCGACGUCGAGGGUGGCGAUCUCGCCAAGCGGGAUGUAGCUGGUGCCCGCAUUCGAGUUGCGCGCAUCGGCC
rnacentral:tRNA from 1 species